GCAUUUGCGAGGGUGCGACGAGAAAGAAAGUACGAUUGUUUCCGCUUCCCUCUCAAAACAACUUACUGGUAUUAAUAGAAUUAGUUUUCAGGGAAGAAAGUGGAUAACUUUAAGAAAAAGAAUAGAAAUGAGAAACACAUAUGUUCUUGGCAGGACAAGAUGUACAGUCUGAAAUUGUUGCAAUGUGUGAUGGGAUGUGGUCAGUCUCAGAAUAAAGCACGUGUCGACAACGACGACAGAAUUACCAAAUCUAAAAGGGUUGACAAGAAGCAAAGUCAACCGAGCAAUUCAAGUACUAAUCAAACUGAAUCGAGCGCGACCUCGAGUAGAAGAAUAUUUCAGGAAACGCUUAACAAGCCUAUAGCGCAACGCAACGUCAUGACAAACAGCCAAAUAGAGUUCUUCAGAAUGCUCGAUGAAAAGGUCGAACAAGGCCGUGAUUAUGAAGAUGUAACAAAUUGAUUAAAUUCAAGGAAUGUUUUAAUCUCCUGCAUUUAGGGUGUCAUAUGGCUUGCAUAAAACUGUAUUCCAAGAAACAAGUGUAGUACUAAUAUCGAAAGGAAAAUUGUCUAGAAACGUGAUGAUUAUAAUAAAACAUUAUAUAACAUUUAUUUUUUACAAAUAUACUGUAUACAUGCAUGUAUAUAUGCUGUAUACGAAUAUAUAUAUGUGUGCGAAUAUAUAUAUAUAUAUAUAUAUAUAUAUAUAU
rnacentral:misc_RNA from 1 species